CACGCGGCCCCCGCUCUGCGCCCCGGGGAAGGCGCUGCCGGCGGCCCCGGCUCUCGCCUCGCUGCAGACGGAAGACCCCGGGAGACCGGGAUAUCGGAGAGCAAACGACUGGGGGAAAUAACUGCAGGUCUCAUCCUCUCAAGAAGUGGAGCAUCUCUAUUGCACUUAAGAAGACGAGUCAAUAGAGACCAAAAAUACUGAGAAAGCACCAGUGAUCUGAAUCUAGAAAUUUUAUUCUCUGGUCAAUAACUUGUUGAUCGUUGCUCGAUCAUUCCUGCUACUUCUGUUGCUCUUUGUUUCAGUUUCUCUCUAUAUAAAGUGACAUAGCUAUACCUUGCAGAGUAUUUUGAGAAUUAUGGGAGUUUACAACUGGAUAAGAUAGAAAACAUCAUUGUAGGGAACGGGUCAGGAAGGAGAAGGCACAACCUGCCUCCAGCUGAACUCUUUGAGAUUGGCCAGAUUCAACGUGUUACAAACAAACAUAUUCCACCUGUUACAACAAUCUGGCAUAUUACUUCCUUGAUACGUGAUGAUACAAUACCUCUCAGGUUUGCUGAGUAGCAAAGAGAAAUAAUGUCCUGAGUUGUAAGGAUGUGGGAAAGGAUCAUUGAAGCCUAUUCUUGGUCCUGCACAGAAAAACCCCUGGAAUCACACCAUGUGCCAUGUUCCAGGUCUUAGCUGAUUGUAUUCAAAUGGUCUUGUUUUCCUGCUAUGUAUUAUGAACGACUUUGGAAGAAACACCUGGAAAUGCUAAUAUUGUGUGGUGACAACAAAAUGCUGGAAUAAAAGGGGGAAGAAGCCGGAUAUCUUAGCAGUUCUGCAGUUCACCAAGUCUGUUAUUUCUGUUCUGUCUUUAUAAUGGCCAUAAAAUAUGAGCUGGGAGUAUGAUGUCAAUGCAUCCACUUUCAAUAAUUGAUAUGAUGAAUAAUCUCAACCUUCUGACACUUUCUGUAUCUUCUCACAUCUCAGGAAACUUCAUUCAUCAACCACAUUUGAAAUGUUUAAGUAAUCUCAGUGAUGUAUGGAGCACUGAAACUCCCUUGUUAGAAAUCUAUGCUACUAACAUUCUAUCAAAUUAAAAAGCCACUGAGCUCUUGUGCAUAAAAUUAUCAUAAAUUAUCUCUGAAGGUUCAUUGCUGUUUGGAAUGUUUAAUUGCUCACUCAGCUGAACUUCAGCAGCUCAAGAUUAUUAAUCAAUUUGUCAGAAGGUUUCUCAUAAUGUCAUCUUUUACACUGUGGUUAUAUGCAAGAAAAACCUAUGUGCAAGACAGUUUUAUGCAGCAAGUCAAAAGUAUCCAUGCAUACCUUUCACAAUAUUCAUUUCAUAUAUUUAUAAGAGUAUUUUUCAGUUGUUGAUUUCUCACAGAACAUAGGAAAAUUAUAAUUACCUCAGUUUAAUUUAUCUGGAUGGAAAACUAGAUCCUCAAAAAUAUAUUUAAAAGUAAAAUGGAGAUUGAUAAUAAAAUGGAACUCUUGAAUCAUUUAAUCCUGGCCUACUGUUGAUUGUCUUUGCUAGAGUAAAUAUUUUGCUAACUGCAGUAAAGAUAUUUUGCAAAUGCCAUAUCUUAAAUGUACAUGAACAGCAUCUUCAGUGAUUUUUCUUACCACAGAAUGCACUUUUGCUUUAAAGUAAUUUUUCAGGAGAGAAUUUUGAUGUACUAAACCAA